rnacentral:lncRNA from 1 species
UUCACACAGGAUGCCACAGUAUGACCCUGUCCAAAGAGGACAGUCUGAGCAUCAAACAGCCUGCUGCACAGGGCAAGCCUCCUGGGGAAAAGCAGUCCCAGAAAGGGCUGGGAGGUGGGAAACAGCUGACUGACCCAGCAGGAAGAAUCCAGGGUGCACAGCCAUAGGCCCAGACUCUCUGGACCAUUUCUCUGAUGUUUGGCUGGGGUCAAGGGUACAGAUGAACUUGCCAAAACCAAGAAUGUGCAGCUGGAUGUCUGACGGAAAAAUAACAAGAAUACAGAAGAAAGUUUGACGCAAAUCAAGAUGAAGGAAGGAGAAACACAGAGCAGGGACAGCUGAGGAGAGAGAAGACAGAAUAGAUUUAAACUCAGGUUUUCAGUGGCUAUGCAUGGGCGCUUCUGUCCGCAGCCAGGACGGGCGUGGACUGGCUGCCCAGAGAGACAAAGGGAGACCCCUUCCUUAGGAUGGGCAAGCUAGAAGGUGGGGAUGGAGGGAAUUGUGCCAGCAAGAUGUGCCCCGGACAAUUUGCGUCUGUCACCAAGUGCAUCUUGGGAAAUGUGGCUGGGAAUAGAAAAGCGCUCGUCUUGAUCAAACUCAAUCUGCCAGGACAAUCCAGGAACUGAACUCAUUCACCUACAGUAGCAGACCCUCAGUAUACAGAGGAAAAAAUGGACAGACGUUUUUAAAAAAAAAAAGAAGAAAGAAAGAAAGAAAGAAAGAAGAAAGAAAGAAAGA